UGUGGGUGAUUGUCUAUGUUGAUGGCUUGUUUUAGCGCAGCUCGCAUUAGCUUCAUGGUUGUUAUUUUGUUUACUGUUUUUGUAUAAUGUUUCAGUGUUCAGUUCUUUCUUUAAUUAAACAUUCAACAUGAACGCGUAUCACGCCGCAUUUUGGUCCUCCGAUCCUUCUCGCCUCCUCUUCAGAUGAAGACCGUAACAACGGCAUUCAAACACCUCAUUGAAGCCCAACUCCUACAGUACUUAUCCAGUAUUGACGGAAGUCCCGCCUUUGCAGGAAUUCCGUGUGGUUUCAGUUUUCAGUGUUACAUCCUAGAUCCACAAGUUUGGACAACCGGACGGAAUGGAGCUCCUCAAAGAGGACAUCCCCUGGCCAUUCUUGCGGAGGUCUACAGUUUGCAGAAAUCCUACCAGGGUAAACCAGCAGAAGGGGACUGCUAAUAUGAUCCACAAACCAGGACAACUUGUGGUCAUUUUUAUGGUGGGUUGCAACUUGCAGAAGGUUGAACCCAUCAGAGGAGGACUAUCAUGGCUACAUGUGAGGGUCCAGUGGCUCAGAUCAGCUUGGCAGGGGUUGACAAAUAACCAGGCCCUCACUCACCCAUAGAACAGGGAAGGGGGGGGGGGGGGGGGCUGGGCUGAUGCAUGUGUAAAGUGAGUUUGGAACUUUCACCAUCUACCCGAGGAAGAAAGGAUAAAAAUCCUCUCAGACAAUCACAAGUACAGCUAAGUAGCUCUGAGGAAAUGGGACCGGACAACUAAGAAGAAGGACAUUGUGACCUCUGGUGGACAAUCAGAGCGUGUACAAGUGGCCCACAGGAAAGGCCAACAAAAACCCUUUCCAGAAGGUUAGGUUUCAACAGAGAUAGAUGAGGAACGGCAUUCAAACACAUAAAUACAUAACUUUCUUACUACCAACGAGCGGUGGUUCGUGUGCAAAGUAAAUGGUUACUGUGAGCGUAGUUUCCAAAUGUACGAUAAGUGUCUCUUUCCCUUAAUCUCUCUCUGCCUCUCUCUGCCUCUCUCCCCUCUAACGUUAUGUUGUAACAAGCCUUCAUAUCUUGUCAGUCCACCAGGGACCUUUGUCUCAUGUAAGUGUGUAUUCUGUGUAAUUAUUUAGUUAGCUAGUAAAUAAAUGACUAAAUCAAUUUGUGUAGUACUGAA